rnacentral:rRNA from 1 species
GACGAACGCUGGCGGCGUGCCUAAUACAUGCAAGUCGAGCGAAGUUUUUCUGGUGCUUGCACUAGAAAAACUUAGCGGCGAACGGGUGAGUAACACGUAAAGAACCUGCCUCAUAGACUGGGACAACUAUUGGAAACGAUAGCUAAUACCGGAUAACAGCAUUAACUGCAUGGUUGAUGUUUAAAAGUUGGUUUUGCUAACACUAUGAGAUGGCUUUGCGGUGCAUUAGCUAGUUGGUGGGGUAAAGGCCUACCAAGGCGACGAUGCAUAGCCGACCUGAGAGGGUGAUCGGCCACACUGGGACUGAGACACGGCCCAUACUCCUACGGGAGGCAGCAGUAGGGAAUCUUCCGCAAUGGGCAAAAGCCUGACGGAGCAACGCCGCGUGAUUGAAGAAGGAUUUCGGUUCUUAAAGCUCUGUUGUGAGGGAGGAAUGAUUGUGUAGUAAUUGUACUGAGUAUAGACGGUUCCAAACCAGUAGCCUUGCAAAUUACUUGCCGUCACCCGUGGUAUUACGUAUGUUGGCAGCUGUUGUCCGGAAUUUGUGGGUGUAAAGUUCUGGUUGGGUGUUUAUGAUGUGUUAUGUGGAUGCCCACCGCUCACCGUGGAGGUGUCUUUGAAAUGUGUUAAAUUUGAUUGUGGGAUGAGAAAUGUGUGAUCUGUGGUUGGUUGGAUAUUGGGUGGUCUAGGAUUUUUUCUGUUG